rnacentral:misc_RNA from 1 species
GAUGAAGAACGCAGCGAAAUGCGAUAGGUAAUGUGAAUUGCAGAAUUCAGUGAAUCAUCGAAUCUUUGAACGCACAUUGCGCCCGGCAGUAAUCUGCCGGGCAUGCCUGUCCGAGCGUCAUUUCUCCCCUCGAGCGCAGCUUUCCCCCCCGGGGGAGGGCCGCGCCCGGUGUUGGGGCGCUACGGAGGAGCCCAGCGCUCCCCCGUAGGCCCCGAAAUGUAGUGGCGGUCCCGCCGCGGCGCCCCCUGCGUAGUAGUUUUACAACUCGCAUCGGGUCCCGGCGGAGGCCAGCCGUCAAACCCCCCAACUUCAAUAGUUUGACCUCGGAUCAGGUAGGGUUACCCGCUGAACUUAAGCAUAUCAAUAAGCGGAGGA